AUUGAACGCUGGCGGAAUGCUUUACACAUGCAAGUCGAACGGUAGAGGGGGCAACCCCUCGAGAGUGGCGAACGGGUGAGUAAUAUAUCGGAACGUGCCCAGUCGUGGGGGAUAACGUAGCGAAAGUUACGCUAAUACCGCAUACGAUCUAAGGAUGAAAGAGGGGGAUCGCAAGACCUCGCGUGAUUGGAGCGGCCGAUAUCAGAUUAGGUAGUUGGUGGGGUAAAGGCUCACCAAGCCAACGAUCUGUAGCUGGUCUGAGAGGACGACCAGCCACACUGGAACUGAGACACGGUCCAGACUCCUACGGGAGGCAGCAGUGGGGAAUUUUGGACAAUGGACGCAAGUCUGAUCCAGCCAUUCCGCGUGCAGGAUGAAGGCCCUCGGGUUGUAAACUGCUUUUGUACGGAACGAAAAGGUCUCUCUUAAUACGGGGGGCUCAUGACGGUACCGUAAGGAUAAGCACCGGCUAACUACGUGCCAGCAGCCGCCGCCG
rnacentral:rRNA from 1 species